UGCAGCUUAGAUCAGAAGCAGAUCGCCUGGCUCAUAACCAGGAGGCCGCCGGUGCGAGUCCGGCAGCUGCACCCA
rnacentral:tRNA from 1 species